rnacentral:tRNA from 1 species
CAUUUGAUGACUGAAAAAAGUGCAAGUCUUUUAAACUUGUUAUAGUAAUUAAUACUUCAAAUGA